AACAAACCUCAAAAAACAGAACAGAAUAGAGCAGAACACAUACCUUAAUUCGUAGGUUCUCUUUAAUCUUUCUAAGGUUUCAGGAAAUGUACGGACAGACCGCAAGUGAGGCCAAUUUCGCUCAUCUUGAAUCGGUUCGCAGGCACUUACUAGGAGAAUCCAUGGCUUCUUGCAAUAAUUCCGCUCCCGCUACUACUCCUGUGUAUUGCCGGAGCUCAAGCUUUGGCAGCUUGUACUCUUGUUUAACGGAAAAUUGGG
rnacentral:misc_RNA from 1 species